rnacentral:rRNA from 1 species
GAUGAACGCUAGCGGCAGGCUUAACACAUGCAAGUCGAGGGGCAGCACGGGUAGCAAUACCUGGUGGCGACCGGCGCAAGGGUGCGUAACGCGUGAGCAACAUGCCCUAUACAGGGGGAUAAUCCAGGGAAACUUGGUCUAAUAUCCCAUAGCAUUUAGAGGAGGCAUCUUCACUAAAUUAAAGCUUCGGUGGUAUAGGAUUGGCUCGCGUGACAUUAGCUAGAUGGUGAGGUAACGGCCCACCAUGGCUAUGAUGUCUAGGGGUUCUGAGAGGAAGACCCCCCACACUGGGACUGAGACACGGCCCAGACUCCUACGGGAGGCAGCAGUGAGGAAUAUUGGACAAUGGGAUGGAAAUCUGAUCCAGCCAUGCCGCGUGCAGGGAAGACGGCCCUAUGGGUUGUAAACUGCUUUUAUAUGGGACAAUAAGGUUUACGAGUAGACCGAUGAGAGUACCAUAUGAAUAAGCAUCGGA